UACGAAGGGGGCUAGCGUUGUUCGGAAUUACUGGGCGUAAAGGGCGCGUAGGCGGUGUGUCAAGUCAGGCGUGAAAGCCCCGGGCUCAACCUGGGAACCGCGCUUGAGACUGGCACGCUCGAGUUCGGGAGAGGAUGGUGGAAUUCCUAGUGUAGAGGUGAAAUUCGUAGAUAUUAGGAAGAACACCGGUGGCGAAGGCGGCCCACUGGUCCGGUACUGACGCUGAGGUGCGAAAGCGUGGGGAGCAAACAGG
rnacentral:rRNA from 1 species